rnacentral:rRNA from 1 species
UAGGGAAUCUUCGGCAAUGGGGGCAACCCUGACCGAGCAACGCCGCGUGAGUGAAGAAGGUUUUCGGAUCGUAAAGCUCUGUUGUAAGAGAAGAACGUGUGUGAGAGUGGAAAGUUCACACAGUGACGGUAACUUACCAGAAAGGGACGGCUAACUACGUGCCAGCAGCCGCGGUAAUACGUAGGUCCCGAGCGUUGUCCGGAUUUAUUGGGCGUAAAGCGAGCGCAGGCGGUUUAAUAAGUCUGAAGUUAAAGGCAGUGGCUUAACCAUUGUUCGCUUUGGAAACUGUUAAACUUGAGUGAAGAAGGGGAGAGUGGAAUUCCAUGUGUAUCGGUGAAAUGCGUAGGUAUAUGGAGGGACACCGGUGGCGAAAGCGGCUCUCUGGUCUGUAACUGACGCUGAGGGUCGAAAGCGUGGGGAGCAAACAGG